CAGUGCAUUGUCAUAUGCCAGUUUAUUAACCAGCUGAAAAGAAGACUCUAAUUGGUUAUGGUAAUAGAAAUGUUAAGUCACAGGAGCAACAAUCUUAACUGCAAAGAAGAGAAGACAGCAAAGAAAAGAGGAAAAUAAACAGUGUGAUAGCUAAAGUAGCAAUAAGGUUCAGAGAGUGAUGGGAGUGGUAAGCAGGAAAUAUUCAGCAAGACAGGACAACAGAGAAAACUCCUGGCCAUGAGAACAUGAAAAACUGUGCCAGGGGUAGGGGUAGUAGCUCCUGAAGACGUAGUAAGCAGAGCUAAACCUUUAUUUAUAAUGACCACAGCUCUAACCCAGAAAGAGCAUCACUUAGUAAAGCUUAGGUAUUCCAACUACAGAAUUCUGCCAUCAAAGCGUGGACUUGGAAAACAGACUUGUGGUUGCUGAGGGCGGGAGCAGGAGGGACUGGGAGUCUCAGGGGUCAAUAGAUGCAUUUGGAGUGGAUAAGCAAGGAGAUCCUGCUGUAUAGCACAGGGAACUAGAUCUAGUCACUUGCGAUGGAACAUGAUAGAGGAUAAUGUGAGAAAAAGAAUGUGUGUAUAUAUGUAUGUGUGUGACUGGGUCACUUUGCUGUACAGUAGAAAAUUGACAGAACACAGUCAACCAACUAUAAUGGAAAAAAUAAAAAUCGUUAAAAAAUAAUUCUGCUAUCCAAUUGGAGCUGGGAAAAGAUGUGAAGCAGCAUUCAGUGAAUAAAGAAGAUAUUUAUCAAAAUGACCAGAGGGCCAUUUUAUUAUACCACAUGAGGUAACAGACAGGGCUUGAGAGUGUGAAUUUCCAGUCAUUUAACAAAAUCAAUUCAUGUGGAAGUUCUUUGCCUGUCAGUCUAGAUUUGAUGUUCAUUAUGAAAUAAAAAGUUAAACUGACUGCUAUCAUUGGCUCUGCCUAUUGCACAUUAAAUUCCAGUAAUUUUGUGAAUAACAGCUAUUAAAGGAAAGAACUAUUUCCUUUAAUUAGUAUAACAUAUUGUAGGACGGAAACUCAGGGACCUGUAUUCUCAUUACACGUUAAGUCAGUAUGAAUAUGUUACUGAACUAUUCAUUUGACCUAUGUAGAGCUGUUUAAAAUGAAGUUAAAACUAUAUCACAUUGGGUCCUUUUAAGCUCAGUUAUUCCUUAGUGUUACUUACAUUAUAUUCAAGUAACUUACCAAUAAAAUGUAAUAGUUUUCACACUCAGCAAAAAAUCAAGCUAAUUUAAGCUUAUUUUCAUUUUACUGAAAAAAAAAAAAAAAGUUCUACCAGCAUGCUUCUCACACUUUAAUGUCCAAAUGGAUCUCACCUGUCAAUCUUGUUAAAACGUAGAUUCAGCGUGUCAGAGACAGGCAGGGCUAGAUUUCUAAAGCUGCCAGGUGAUACUGCCGUUGGUCCGGGGACUGCAUUUUGAGUAGCAAAUUUCUAGGAUCUGAAGAAACUGUAACGCUGAUAAGCUAAGCUAGUGAUGAUGACUAAGAAUAAAAUACUACAAGGAAAAUAUUCCACAAAGUCUGAGAUGAAACACAUUCGGGAUUUGUGCUAACAUGGGAGAUGAGAAGAGAGUGGAAGAACAAGAUCCCAAGUUGCUAAGUGAUGGAGGUUUGUCAUCGUUUUCUAACGCUUGCUGCCAAUCAAGGGGAGCACUUUCUGUCCACUGAAAUGAGGGUGACAUGAUGUUGCACGGAGGGUGGCUAUAAUGUGAGGCUGGAAAAGGAUCUACGUGUACUUAAGAAUCUCACACACAAUUUCAACCUUUAAAACACUAAUAAUGGUUCCUUAUUUUUUACAUCUUUGCCCUUAGAAGACUCAGCUUACUUGGCACUUACUGAGAAGCAACUGAUUUGAAAACCUUAAAGUUGAUUAAAUGUCAUGAGGUCUGAUAAGGGGAUGAUCAAAGUUCAGAAUCCUCACCUUAAGAAAUAUAUAUAUACGUAUACAUAUAUAGUGUGUUGAGGAGUUCCCAUCGUGGCUCAGUGAUUAACAAUCCUACCUAGUAUCCAUGAGGAUACAGGUUAGGUCUCUGGCCUUGCUCAGUGGGUUAAGGAUCUGACAUUGCCAUGAGCUGUGGUGUAGACCACAGACAGCUCAGAUCCUGUGUUGCUGUGGCUGUGGUGGAGGCCGGCAGCUGAAGCUCUGAUUAGACCCCUAGCCUGGGAACCUCCAUAUGCUGCAGAUGCGGCCCUAGGAGGGGAAAACUACUGAAUUUAAAAAUACUAAAUCCAGGGUAAUGACUACCUUUAGAAAAGGGAUGCAUAGGGCCCAAGAUCAGGAAGAGUAUAAAGAUGUCACUUCAGUCUCAUGUUUUGUUUAAGUCAUACAUUAAAACUACACAUAAAGUAUGGGAAUUAUCAGGUGGUUAGAGUUGAGCAGUAAGUGCAAGGGUAGUAUUCCAUUUUUUCCUUAAUGGGGGCAAUCUGACGCUGACACUCAACAUUUAAGCUUUAUUUGCAAAAUCUAAAAGAUAUUAGAGGGAAUAAGUGUAUUUUAGAAUAAAGACAGGGUUUUGAUAACUGGUACGCAUA
rnacentral:lncRNA from 1 species